rnacentral:rRNA from 1 species
UACGUAGGGUGCAGGCGUUAAUCGGAAUUACUGGGCGUAAAGCGUGCGCAGGCGGUCUUUUAAGUUUGGUGUGACAGUUGGUGGCUUAACUGCCAAAGUGCUUCGAAAACUGACAGACUUGAGGGCUUCAGAGGGACACGGAAUUCCGGGUGGAGUGGUGAAAUGCGUAGAGAUCCGGAGGAACACCAAAGGCGAAGGCAGUGUCCUGGGGAGUGCCUGACGCUCAGGUGCGAAAGCCAGGGGAGCGAACGGG